rnacentral:snRNA from 1 species
AUGCUGUCUUCGGUAGCAUGUAUACUAGAAUUGUAACCAUACAAAAGUUAGCAUGGCCCCUGUGCAUUGAUGACAUGCACUUAUGGAUUGUUGCAAGUCCAU